rnacentral:rRNA from 1 species
GUCGCUACGAGGGAGUGGACCAUUUACUGAAGUCUUUGGACUGGAGUGUUGUUGGUUUUACCGAUAUCACUUCGGAAAUUAGCCUAAAGUUGAUGGUCUCGACCACGUAA